UACGGAGGGCGCAAGCGUUGUUCGGAAUCACUGGGCGUAAAGCGCGUGUAGGCGGCUUGGUAAGUCGGGUGUGAAAGCCCGGAGCUCAACUCCGGAACUGCACUCGAAACUGCCUCGCUCGAGUCCCGGAGAGGGUGGUGGAAUUCCCGGUGUAGAGGUGAAAUUCGUAGAUAUCGGGAGGAACACCAGUGGCGAAGGCGGCCACCUGGACGGUGACUGACGCUGAGACGCGAAAGCGUGGGGAGCAGACAGG
rnacentral:rRNA from 1 species